GAGAGAGGCAAGAAGGCGAAGGUAGGAGGGGGGGAUUGGGACCCAGUGAGUGAAGUUUGGUUUUUCGCUGCAAAUCUUUCAUAGUUUUUUUCGUUGAGGUCAGAGCUUGUUCAUACAAUCUCCUUCUAAACCCACAAACAAUCCUUCCAUUUCCAUGAUUUUCAGCUUCCUUUCUGCUUCUUCUGCUUCUUCUUGUUCUUGUUCUUCAUCAUUCAUCCGUGUUCUUGUUCUUCAAUCUCGUUUUCGAACCCCCAACUUCCGCUUUUUCUCAUACACUUUACUGAUCUCCAUCAUUAUACUUCCAAUUUCCUACUUCCAACUUCCUCACAUCCUCAAUUGCGCCUAACGGACGAGGGUUUCCUCUAUUGCUGCUCAGCUGCAAUUCGCGCCUCUUGCGUUCGCCUUCGAGGUAGGUGGUGUUUCUUUUUGUUUUUUCGACCGAUCCGGGUUUUGGUUUUCUUUUUUCAAUUUCAACUUAGGGCUUUGAUUUUGCGCCAUGAUAAAUACAAGUUUCUUGGCUUGAUUUUUCUCUUAUUUCGCUGUGGGGUUUAGUGACUUUAGCUGCUUUGAUCUUUAGGGUUUUGGUUUUGGGAGUAUAGAUCUGGGUUUGCAUUCUACUGCUUGUUGCCUCUGUUGUUGAUUGCGGAAUCCUUCCGAAUUAAAUGUUACUCAGUCAUUGCUGGAAUUAUGAUUUCAGGCUGCUGUAAACCCGCUCUUUUUUGCUUGGUGCACGUACUAUAUAUAUGUUUGUGUAUAUUUUGUUUUUUACCAAAUGGUGCGGCCUUUCAGACUUGAUUUGUCCUGAAUGACGAGGAAGUAUAAAUUCUGGGGGAUUUUGUAUUGGUACAGUACCGCAAUUCAGCUUCAAUUCGAGUGACAAUUCUGGGGUUGGAGCUACAGUUUACGGUGUAUGAACCCAACCGGCCUCUGGAGAAAUGCAAUCUCAGCAAGGCUCCAGAAUUGAUUUAGGCGACUUGAAGGCUCAGAUAGUUAAAAAACUUGGAAAUGACAAGUCCAAGCGGUACUUCUUCUACUUGAGCAAAUUCUUGGGUCAGAAGCUGAGCAAGGUUGAGUUUGAUAAGCUGUGCGUUCGUGUGCUUGGAAGGGAGAAUAUUCAGCUCCACAAUCAAUUGAUAAGGUCAAUUUUGAAGAAUGCAUGUGUAGCCAAGACCCCACCACUUAUAAAUGUAUCAGGACAUGCACAAUCUGUACUACAAGCUUCGAACAAUACUCCUUGUAGAGAAGAUGCCCCUGAACAAACUGGAUCUGCCUUCCCAAAUCAGAAUCAGAGUAUACCAAUUUGGACAAACGGGGUUCUGCCAGUGUCCCCACGGAAGGGUAGAUCUGUCUUACGCGGGAAGUUUAGGGAUAGGCCGAGUCCGCUUGGUCCAAAUGGAAAAACAGCAUGUCUUUCGUAUCAAUCAACAGGUACUGAAGAUAGGAAAGUUAUUACAGAGAAUGGUAAUGUAACCAUGUGUGACUAUCAGAGGCCUGUACAGCAACUUCAAGCAGUAGCUGAGCUACCUGAGAAUGACAUAGAUGGAUCAGUUCAGCGCCCGUCAGGAAAACCAAGAAUACGUCCAACAGAAGCAUCCAUUCUUGAAGAAGGAGAGGAGGUGGAACAAUCAGAUCCCUUAAGCUUCCUUAGAGGUCCUCUACUUCCACCUCUUGGUAUUCCAUUUUGUUCAGCGAGUGUGGGUGGGGCACGCAAGGCCUUGCCAGUCAGCAGUAGUGGCAGUUGUGUCGAUUUUCUGAGUUGUUAUGACAGUAUUGGAUUGUCUGAUUCAGAGACAGUGAGAAAACGCAUGGAACAAAUUGCAACUGCACAAGGGCUUGAUGGUGUUUCUUUGGAAUGCCCUAACAUCCUGAAUAAUACUCUUGAUGUGUACCUGAAGCAAUUGAUAAAGUCUUGCCUUGAGUUGGUGAGAACAAGGUCUACAUUUGAACAUACGGGGCAUCCGAUCCAGAAGCAACAAAAUCAAGGGAAGGUUAUAAAUGGUAUGUGGCCUACUAACCACCUACGUGUACAGAAUAGCAAUGGGCGAUCUGAAGUUUUGGAGGAAAAGAGUUUUGAAUGCUCAGUGUCAUUGCUUGAUUUCAAAGUUGCUAUGGAGCUCAAUCCAAAGCAGCUUGGGGAAGAUUGGCCUUUGCUGUUGGAGAAAAUUAGUAUGCGUGCCUUUGAGGAAUAAGCGGUUGCAAAGUUUUUAUUUAUUCUUCUGCCAUCCAAGGCUGGUCUCUGUUCCUUCGGGCUUCUAAACGCACCUGGGAUGUCUUCCCGUUCUUCCCUUCUUCCUGGGGUGUACUUGAUCGCUCCCAUUUGGUUCAGGCUCCAAGCUUUCAUGCUAAAACAUUGUAACAUCAUUGCCUGCUGCAUCGAGGAAGUUGAAUUAACUCGACUAAGAAAGGGGGAGCUUUCAGCCAGAACGCCCGUAAAAGGAAUACUGUCAUUUAGCUUGGUGAAAGAUGAAUCACCUGGGUGAGAGCUUCAGGUGCUCUUUUGGUCCCCUGUUCAACUAUAUGAUUAUCCAAUAUAUAAUCAUGUUGCUCUUGUCUUUAAUCCCACUUUCACGAUGAAUAGUGCCAGCUGCCCCCUCCAGGUAAAUGUGAACGUAUGCGUGUGAGAAGUUCGUCUCAGGAGCAGCACAGCCUGAUUCCAAGAUGUUUGCAACGAGAUAGAUAUCCAGCUUGCUACUGAGCAAAUCAAUGUUCUACAGAUACUAUGCCCAAUUGGAUGCAGGUAAUUCUUACUAAAAGGUAACGUAAUGAUUGAAGUUUGGAGUAGACAAGGCUCAAGGUCAUAAUACCACGGAAAGGUAUCUUCUCCUUCUAGAACUAACAAUUUUUCUUUCCUGCUCACAUAAUUUAAACUUCUAUGGGCUCUAGUGCGUUGAUUGCAAAGCAUAUUUGCAUCUAAAGUACCAUUAAGCAUUGUACUAAUCUGGUCUUGUGAUGUCUGCUGUUUUAUCAUCAUACUAUUGAUUUAGUUUUCUUCUGAGAGGUUUGCCAUUUUUUUCUUACGAUAUAUAGCUUGCUUGUCAGUAAAAAAAUUUCUUCAUUUUUAGCUGUAUUUGUAGCCAUGUUAUGAAGUAUCUUUUGAAAUAACUAUUGCAGUGUACAAUAUGAACUUCAGAGUCUGUAAUGUACAAAGUAAGGAAUUUAUGAAGCAAUCAAGGUGAAGUGGCGAAGUGCAUGUGUGAUAUUCUACAUUCGUUGGAGAGGGGAACAAAGCAUUCCUUAUAAGGGUGUGGAAAUCUCUCUCUAGU